rnacentral:rRNA from 1 species
CUGAGACACGGUCCAGACACCUACGGGUGGCAGCAGUCGAGAAUCAUUCACAAUGGGCGCAAGCCUGAUGGUGUGACGUCGCGUGGAGGAUGAAGGUCCUAGGACUGUAAACUCCUGUCAUCAGGGAGUAAGACAUGUGUAUUAAUAGUGCGCAUGUUUGAUAGUACCUGAAGAGGAAGGGACGGCUAACUUCGUGCCAGCAGCCGCGGUAAUACGAAGGUCGCCAAGCGUUGUUCGGAAUCACUGUGCGUAAAGGGAGCGUAGGCGGUUCGGUAAGUCGGGUGUGAAAGGCGGGGGCUCAACCUCCGGACUGCAUCUGAUACUGCCGUGACUAGAGUAGUGGAGGGGAGACUGGAAUUCUCGGUGUAGCAGUGAAAUGCGUGGAUAUCGAGAGGAAGACUCGUGUCGAAAGCGAGUUUCUGGACACUUACUGACGCUGAGGCUCGAAGGCCGGGGGAGCGAAAGGGAUUAGAUACCCCUGGUAGUCCCGGCAGUAAACGGUGCGCGCUUGGUUGUGGGAGGAUUCGACCCCUUCCGUGCCGGAGCUAACGCGUUAAGCGCGCCGCCUGGGGAGUACGGUCGCAAGACUAAAACUCAAAGAAAUUGACGGGGACCCGCACAAGCGGUGGAGUAUGUGGCUUAAUUCGAUGCAACGCGAAGAACCUUACCUGGGCUUGACAUGCCGUCAUAGUCUGUGAAAGCAGAUGUCAGUUCGGCUGGACGUGCACAGGUGCUGCAUGGCCGUCGUCAGCUCGUGUCGUGAGAUGUUUGGUUAAGUCCAGCAACGAGCGCAACCCCUGCGUCUAGUUACCAGCACAUAAUGGUGGGGACUUUAGACGGACUGCCCAGAUCAACUGGGAGGAAGGUGGGGACGACGUCAGGUCAGUAUGGCCCUUAUGCCCAGGGCUGCACACGUACUACAAUGCCCGGUACAAUGAGAACCGAAACCGCGAGGUGGAGGAAAUCUACAAAACCGGGCUCAGUUCGGAUUGGAGGCUGCAACCCGCCUCCAUGAAGUUGGAAUCGCUAGUAAUGGCACAUCAGCAACGGUGCCGUGAAUACGUUCCCGGGUCUUGUACACACCGCCCGUCACAUCAUGGAAGCCGGUCGCACCCGAAGUAUUUCCAGCAAGGAAGUCCUA